GAUGAACGCUAGCGGCAGGCUUAACACAUGCAAGUCGAGGGGUAGAGGUUGCUUGCAACCUUGAGACCGGCGCACGGGUGCGUAACGCGUAUGCAACCUACCUUUUACAGAGGGAUAGCCCAGAGAAAUUUGGAUUAAUACCUCAUAGUAUAUAACCUUCGCAUGUUGGUUAUAUUAAAGUUCCAACGGUAAAAGAUGGCCAUGCGUCCUCUUAGCUAGAUGGUAAGGUAACGGCUUACCAGGGCUACGGUAAGUGGGGGUCCUGAGAGGGAGAUCCCCCACACUGGUACUGAGACACGGACCAGACUCCUACGGGAGGCAGCAGCGAGGAAUAUUGGACAAUGGGCGCAAGCCUGAUCCAGCCAUGCCGCGUGCAGGAAGACGGUCCUAUGGAUUGUAAACUGCUUUUGUACGGGAAGAAACACUCCUACGUGUAGGAGCUUGGCGGUACCGUAAGAAUAAGGAUCGGCUAACUCCGUGCCAGCCGCCGCGGUAAUAC
rnacentral:rRNA from 1 species